rnacentral:rRNA from 1 species
UACGGAGGGAGCUAGCGUUGUUCGGAAUUACUGGGCGUAAAGCGCACGUAGGCGGCAAUUCAAGUCAGGGGUGAAAUCCCGGGGCUCAACCCCGGAACUGCCCUUGAAACUGGAUCGCUAGAAUCUUGGAGAGGCGAGUGGAAUUCCGAGUGUAGAGGUGAAAUUCGUAGAUAUUCGGAAGAACACCAGUGGCGAAGGCGACUCGCUGGGCAAGUAUUGACGCUGAGGUGCGAAAGCGUGGGGAGCAAACAGG